AUACGUAGGGUGCGAGCGUUGUCCGGAAUUACUGGGCGUAAAGAGCUCGUAGGUGGUUUGUCGCGUCGUCUGUGAAAUUCCGGGGCUUAACUCCGGGCGUGCAGGCGAUACGGGCAUAACUUGAGUACUGUAGGGGAGACUGGAAUUCCUGGUGUAGCGGUGAAAUGCGCAGAUAUCAGGAGGAACACCGGUGGCGAAGGCGGGUCUCUGGGCAGUAACUGACGCUGAGGAGCGAAAGCAUGGGUAGCGAACAGGAUUAGAUACCCUGGUAGUCCAUGCCGUAAACGGUGGGCGCUAGGUGUAGGGGUCUUCCACGAUUUCUGUGCCGUAGCUAACGCAUUAAGCGCCCCGCCUGGGGAGUACGGCCGCAAGGCUAAAACUCAAAUGAAUUGACGGGG
rnacentral:rRNA from 1 species